rnacentral:rRNA from 1 species
UCGGGAAUAUUGGACAAUGGGCGCAAGCCUGAUCCAGCCAUGCCGCGUGAGUGACGAAGGCCUUAGGGUUGUAAAGCUCUUUUGGCGGGGAAGAUAAUGACGGUACCCGCAGAAUAAGCUCCGGCUAACUUCGUGCCAGCAGCCGCGGUAAUACGAAGGGAGCUAGCGUUGUUCGGAAUCACUGGGCGUAAAGCGCACGUAGGUGGAUAGUUAAGUGAGGGGUGAAAGCCCGAGGCUCAACCUCGGAAUUGCCUCUCAUACUGGCUGUCUCGAGUCCGAGAGAGGUGAGUGGAAUUCCUAGUGUAGAGGUGAAAUUCGUAGAUAUUAGGAAGAACACCGGUGGCGAAGGCGGCUCACUGGAUCGGUACUGACGCUGAGGUGCGAAAGCAUGGGGAGCAAACAGGAUUAGAUACCCUAGUAGUCCCUGAGCGGGCUGGCAAGGCGCAU